AUCCAGCUGACAAGUGCCAUAUAGGACGAAACACGCGUCCUGGAU
rnacentral:hammerhead_ribozyme from 1 species